AGCCACCAUUCCCCUAACAGACAAAAGGCUCAUGGGGACAGUUCCUGCAGUUUACAGCAAAUUGUAGCCCUACAAACUUCAGAUACUGCCAAGCUUGGGUGCACUGGGCCGGUUAUCCAGCCGUGUGGAAUCAACAUCUCCAGCUGAACUUGGGCCGGGAAUUAUAUAAGAAUCCUUAGCAGCAUGAGUGCCAGCCAGUCAUUGCUGUUCUUUGCAUUGCUGAGGAGGACAGUCCUGCCAACAUAAUAGUUUGUUCAAUAACAGGAGACAAACAGAAACACAGAGGUGCUAUACAUUCCGAUGGAAAAUACAACAAAAGAAGAAUUUUAAGAAAGGUGAUGGUUGGGCACACACAAGAAGACAUAGAUCACAUGUGUCCAGGCAUAUGAGUAGACAGGAGUUUCACACUCUGCCAAACUUACUUCAUCAGAGGAGCAGAAAGCUUCUCAAGAUCCCGCACUGCACACUUAGAUAUAGUCUUUGACUACAACAAGGGGAUGGAAGUACAGAGAGGUCCAAUUGAAAUCAAUUCUGUGCUGCGUCAUUUCUUCAUUCUGGAAGUCGAUGGACAUGAUUUAUCAUGGCAUCAGGUGUGCAGUUUGUCGACUAUCAGCAGUCUUGUUCACCAGUUGUGCAACUUGAGCUGGUAGCUUUAUUGCUUGAAGCCACAGCAUAAGAGGGGGAAGGUGCAGGCUCAUCAAAAAGUCUCAAAAGUUGAAACUAGGAAAAGAAGUUUGUCAAGAGUGUGAAUAUUUGCUUUGAAAACCAUCGUUACGAUGAUUUGGUUUCCUUUGAAACUUGAUACAUACUAUGUGUAUGUUGAAUGAAUUGAGAUGCUUAAAUAAAGAACCGCUAUUCAAAUAUCAGGAAACUGCAUUUUUCAUACUAAAGGGUAAAUGAUGUCGCCAUUUCCUGUAUGUAUUUAAAUGAGAUAUGUUUCCACAAUUAAUAUUUUUAGGGAAUUUUUCUCAUCCUAAUGAAUGAGAUUAAAUUGUACAGCGUUAUAUGAGCUUAAUAUGUGUUUUCUGUUUCUUUAAAAUUGGUGAAAAAUUGUCAGAAGAUAAUUAGACCAGUAUCCAUUACUGCAAUCAUACAAUCAAAUAUACAGGGACAAACCCACUGGGCAUAUAAUAUAAUUAAACCCUGUUUAGGGGCACGAGGCAAACAGAGUUACUUUAAAACGUUAAAGCUGCACUCUCACAUUUUGGACGUUUUGACAACUUUUCUCAUUUUAUGUCUUGGAUUGGAACCAUCCAAUUUUUGCGAAAAAUUAAAUGGCAGAUUUUUCUAUUUAAGUUAAAACAUUGAUGUUUUAUGCACUUUUCUUAAACCGUUAGUAACAUUAAUUUUUGAACGGAAAUAUGAAAUCUGUGAUCUGAUCUUUUGUCAGCAAUCUUUUAUCAUUGGUUUGCAGAUAAU